AAAGACAUAGUAUAAGAAAUACGUUUCAUUUACACUGAAAAUAUACUUAGUUGAUGAGUUGUUUUUA
rnacentral:tRNA from 1 species